rnacentral:rRNA from 1 species
UAAGGAAUAUUGGACAAUGGAGGCAACUCUGAUCCAGCCAUGCCGCGUGAAGGAAUAAGGCCCUAUGGGUUGUAAACUUCUUUUAGACGGGACAAAACCCCUUUACGUGUAAAGGGUUGAUGGUACUGUCAGAAUAAGCAUCGGCUAACUUCGUGCCAGCAGCCGCGGUAAUACGAAGGAUGCAAGCGUUAUCCGGAAUUAUUGGGUUUAAAGGGUGCGUAGGCGGACUAAUAAGUCAGUGGUGAAAGCCUGCAGCUUAACUGCAGAAUUGCGAUUGAUACUGUUAGUCUUGAGUACAGUUGAGGUAGGCGGAAUGUGUCAUGUAGCGGUGAAAUGCUUAGAUAUGACACAGAACACCGAUUGCGAAGGCAGCUUGCUAAGCUGUAACUGACGCUGAGGCACGAAAGCGUGGGGAGCAAACA